AUGCAAAGUGUUCAUUCUUUUUUUGUAAAAAGAGAAAAUCAGGGAAUAGACGAGUCUGCUUCUUGUAUUUAUGGUGGUUUUAGUAUGCUCUUUUGCAUCACUGAUUCUCUCUGCUUUUCUCCACAGGGGAGGAAUUCCAGUUGUAGAGAGCUUUUACAAAGCCAAGCAGCUGUGUCUAUACUUCAGUCUUGGAGACAAAGGGAUAUUCCUGAAGAUGUCAGUGAGAAAAUAAGAGAUGACUGAAAGAGCAUCUUGGCUUGUGGGACCUGCUGGCAUCUAACGGCUGUGCAAGACUUCCUCUCUGUGUUAGGGAGCACUUGGAGCUCCCUCACACAUUUUCUUGUGGACAAUUCCUUUUCUUGCAACCUUCCCUAUCCUGGUGCUCCUCAAAGGCUUUGCUUGAGGAGAUUUGGCUCUAGGGUCUUGACAACACUCAUUAAAUCCAUAUUCAAAUAUCUGCACCUAAGGACCAAGCAGGACCACCAUGUUGCUGAUGCAGCCAUUGAGUCUGUUGGCUCUAGAGCAGCUGUAGGGGCUUCUUAAGGAGAUGCUUCCUAGGCUACAUUGAUAUGGAGACAGAAUCCCUGUACCACAGGAUGUCCUUCACCCCAUGAAGCUUCUGAAACAAAGGUUCCAUCUGUUCUCCUGCAGUGCCUCUUACAACUCACUGUGCUCCAGUCUUGAGUCUGAAUGUUGGAUAAAUCUCUUAAUCAAAUUUCUUGUGCAGUUUUAAACUUUGCCUGCGGAAAUCUUUUUACUGAAUGUGUAUUUAGACAAGAGCACAGUGUCACUUUUCUUAUGGAACAAAUCUUGCUGAAUGAGAGUAAAUGGAACCUAUAAAUUUAGCGCUUGUGACCUAUAAAACAUAUCACAAUGAGUGGAAAAAUGCUUCCAGCAACCUCCUUUUUGAUUCCUUUAGAGAAGAAACAAGUCUGUGGUUAACAUAUAUAUAUAUAUAAAUAUAUAUAUACAAUCUCAAACCCUGUGCGUUUGGCAUUUACUAGUUUUUUGCCAAUGAGAGAACAAGUGUACAUGUAGCCAACUCCACUUACAGAAAUGUGAUCUCCUUCACCCUCCGGAAGCCAGAAAUGUUUCCUAUCAAGUGGUAUAGUGGAACUUACCACCACAAAUGAAGAUCUUUGAUGAAAUCAUAUGAAUAGAUUUGUUCAAACUGCAGUGUAUAAUUUGGCUGCUCCACAAAUGGAAACAAAAGAAAUCAGCUCUUGCCGACUGGUGUGUGUUGUGUUGUCUGUUUAAAGAUGUUACUUAUUUCUGGGAUCCACUGCAUGGAUUUUAAUUUAUGCUGGAAAUAGAAAAUAAAUGGAAGAUAAAUAAUUAAGCA
rnacentral:lncRNA from 1 species